UUGCUCCCGCUGUUUCUGCUCCUACGUUAACAAUCAAGAUGGUACAUGCUGAAGCCUUUUCUCGUCCUUUGAGUCGGAAUGAAGUUGUUGGUUUAAUUUUCCGUUUGACAAUAUUUGGUGCAGUGACAUACUUUACUAUCAAAUGGAUGGUAGAUGCAAUUGAUCCAACCAGAAAGCAAAAAGUAGAAGCUCAGAAACAGGCAGAAAAACUAAUGAAGCAAAUUGGUGUGAAAAAUGUGAAGCUCUCAGAAUAUGAAAUGAGUAUUGCUGCUCAUCUUGUAGACCCUCUUAAUAUGCAUGUUACUUGGAGUGAUAUAGCAGGUUUAGAUGAUGUCAUUACGGAUCUGAAAGACACAGUCAUCUUACCUAUCAAAAAGAAACAUUUGUUUGAGAAUUCCAGGCUUCUGCAGCCUCCAAAAGGUGUUCUUCUCUAUGGGCCUCCAGGCUGUGGUAAAACGUUGAUUGCCAAGGCCACAGCCAAAGAAGCAGGCUGUCGAUUUAUUAACCUUCAGCCUUCGACACUGACCGAUAAGUGGUAUGGAGAAUCUCAAAAAUUGGCUGCUGCUGUCUUCUCCCUUGCCAUAAAGCUACAACCAUCCAUCAUCUUUAUAGAUGAAAUAGACUCCUUUCUACGAAACCGUUCAAGUUCUGACCAUGAAGCUACAGCCAUGAUGAAAGCUCAGUUUAUGAGUCUCUGGGAUGGAUUGGAUACUGAUCACAGCUGCCAGGUCAUAGUAAUGGGAGCUACCAAUCGUCCUCAGGACCUUGACUCGGCUAUAAUGAGAAGAAUGCCUACAAGAUUUCAUAUCAACCAGCCUGCUUUAAAACAGAGAGAAGCAAUCCUGAAACUCAUCUUGAAAAAUGAAAAUGUGGAUAGGCAUGUAGACCUGCUAGAAGUUGCCCAGGAAACUGAUGGGUUUUCAGGAAGUGACCUAAAAGAGAUGUGUCGAGAUGCUGCCCUCCUCUGUGUUAGAGAAUAUGUUAAUUCUACAUCAGAAGAAAGUAUGAAGAAUCUGGAUGGACUUGGGUUAUCAUAACUUUUUCCUGAAUGUUUUUCCCUGAAUAUCUGUAAAUUACAAAGGAGCCAUAAUGUUCUGGACUUUGUUUCUCAUUGAAGUAGGGAGGAUUUGGAUUAGUUGGUUUUUAUUGAUAGUGAAGAAUUUUACUCUCAAUUUGUAAAAAGCAAAACAUGCAUGUAAGUAUGUACCUAGAAAUGCUACUUUUUAAUUACAGUUUUCAUGGGAAUAACGUGAUUUUUUUCCAUUGGAAUUAUAUUCCCAUUUCAAUAAACUAUAUAACAUUUUUUCCCUUAUGGUAAUAUUGUGUACUUAUAUUAUAGAUGUGUAGUCUUUGAUUGUAGCUAUUUUAGCUUCCUACUUCUUAGCAGUCAGUGCUUUUAAAAAAUUCCUUAUGAUUUCUCUAUGUGUAGGUAAUUCCUGGAAGCAUUUUACAUGAAGCUGUUCAUUGUGGUUGUCUUUGGGGUCUUGAAUGCCAUGACGAAGAUGAAAUUCGGCCUGUUCAACAGCAGGACCUGCAUCGGGCAAUUGAAAAGAUGAAGAAAUCAAAGGAUGCAGCAUUUCAGAAUGUUUUAACACAUGUUUGUUUAGAUUAAGAGUGAAGAUCAUUUGUACAGUUCAGUGAUCUAGUUUGGUGUGUCCUCUUAUCACUUGGUGGAAAUAGAACGGAAAGAGUGCUCUUUAAACAAUGAGGGAGCUCAGUGUUUAUGGUUUUAUACUCUGAAUUCUAAGUUAUCGAGAUAUAGUUGUUACAUAGGUGGUAUUACUGUUUGUCAGAAAUGAGGAGGAACAGUUGAAUCCAGCCUGAAUGUGGGUGCUUGUGUUUGACCUCUUUAGCCAUAUAUUGUACAGCCUUAUAGAAUCUAAGCUGGUCUUAAAGUCAUAAAUGAUUCAUUGGGUCAUUAAUGAGAAACGGGGAUGUGGUUAGGUGCUGGUUCCUAGACACGUGAGUAUGCGUUUGUGUGUGUGCGCGUAUGUGUGUGUAUAUUAAAUGUAUAUAUCCACACAUUUUAUAUUGCCAUUCUGUAGAUAUGUUUGAAUACAGAAACUUUUUUUACCCCAACUACUGAAUCCGGGAGUACCAAAUAAUAUAUAGUAAAACUAAGAUUUAAGGUUGUGUCAAAAAGGUACAGUGAUUCAGCCAUUUCCAUUUGUCAUUUGUUUCAACCUUUUUUGAGUGUUUUUAUUUCUGCAGUAACUAGUUGGAUCCUCCACAUCUUGCCUAUAUACGUGGGCUCAAUUAUUAUGUUUGUCAGGAUAAUCAAAUGAAAAUACUAGUUCAGUGAUCAGCAUUGAAUGGUUGUUAGGCAGCCAUGUGCUCAACACUGAUUUCACCUCUUUCUGUAAGUAUACUGAGUAUAAACUUUUUAAGUUUAAAUUAAGUUUAAAUUGGUUUACAUGAAAGUGGAUUAAAAGGCCUUUCAAAAGAAUGGGUUUGAAAAACCUCAGUACCCUUUAAUACAUGUACAUUUCUUUCCUUUCUUCAUUUAAUGUAACAUAUGUCUGUUGUAACUAUGUUUCUUAAAUAUUAUUUUAAAGUUAUGUGUUCUUUAAUUAUGGUCAAAUAUAAUUUGGUCACCAAAAAUGAAAUAAUAGUUUAAAACAAGUAGCUGUUACUAAGUGCUCUAAAAAUACUCAUUUUGUAAUUAAUUUUAGUUUUCUUAGUAUAAGUUGUGCCCUGGUCAGGUACAAAUGUACACAUCAGAAUGCCCAUAUUGUAUCUAUCUGUAGUCGUUUAAUGUGAAUUAUAUGUGAAAUUUUUUUCAAAAGUUUACUAACCAGAAUUCUGUUAUAGGCACCUAAACACACAGCAUGAGGAAAACGGCACAAUAUAAUCUUGAGGUGCCUUCUGAAUCGUCAGAUUAAAUUACGCUUCAUAUGUUUUUGCUUUUACUGUAUUUCUUUAAAAACUCUCAAUCUUUAUUCAUGUGUUACUGGAUUAAUUUAUCUGAUAAUAUGUCUCACAAGAAUCUGUUAGAUCGUUUAUUCUUCAGUUGUACUUUGAAUGGUGGGGUGGAAGUUUCAGUUGAACACUGGAUAAGAAAAAGCAAGUUAUGGAAGAUUAUGAAGAGGAUGGAAAAAUUGAAUACAAGAUACCAAAAAUGAAAAAAAGGGACUGCUUCUUCAGAUCCCGUAAGCUCCACUUCCGCUUGAUGAUGAAUGCUACUUGGCUUGCCCAACUCUGCCUAGAUGGAUGAUGAGCAACUCUGCAUGCUGACGCUGCUGCUGCAGUCAAGGCUAUCCUUUCUGCAGGACACAAUGACCACAGCAAAGAGCGGGAAAGAUAACUUUCCACGACAUCGCCACAUUGUUUGACGUCCUUUCAUCAAAUCACUGUAUGCUAUUAAAAGUCACCGUGUAACUGGAGUUACAUUAUGCACAGAGGCCAUUAAGACUUCUCUUCUUAUUGGACAAUAUAACUUUUGUGACAGAAAUAGUCUGCACAGAUCUCUAAGAUUAAAUUCACGUUAUUGCACAUUUUGCUUCUCCAGUCAGGUCUUCAGCACGUAAGAUAGGAUUACAACAUUAAGGCUUUGUACAGCAUGAGGUAAAAUAUCAAGAAGAAUCUUGAUGUGAGCCACACCUCUUUUAGAGUGAGAAAAAAAAAUUUUUUUUUUUGGUCAAUUGUACAGAAGAGGACGCUUAAUCUGAUAUAUUUUACAACUGAUAAAUGACAUUGGAAGAGUACAGGUUGGCAAGACACGCUGGAAAAUAUAUUCACUUUUCAGCAAGUAACUAGACACAUGGUCAAACAAAGCCUUAAGAAAUCUGGGACCUGCCUGCUCAGGUGCAGUAGAAAAUACACAGAGCUAAUUUUAUUCUGAAAUGUUUAAGAAUAUUGCUUUUACCUGCUAAGAUUUGGUCUUCAGUUUGACUUUGUAUGUAUAUGUGUGUGUGUAUAUUUUUUUUAAUUAUAGACACAACUUUUACUUCAUUAUAAAAGAUUAAAAUGCA